CAGUAGCCGCGGUAAUACGAGGGGGGCAAGCGUUGUUCGGAAUUAUUGGGCGUAAAGGGUGCGUAGGCGGUUUCGCAAGUCUUGUGUGAAAUCUAUGGGCUCAACCCAUAGUCUGCACAGGAAACUGCGAGGCUUGAGGAUGGGAGAGGUGAGUGGAAUUUCCGGUGUAGCGGUGAAAUGCGUAGAUAUCGGAAGGAACACCUGUGGCGAAAGCGGCUCACUGGACCAUUUCUGACGCUGAUGCACGAAAGCUAGGGGAGCAAACAGGAUUAGAUACCCGCGUAGUCCCUGUCUCUUAUAA
rnacentral:rRNA from 1 species